AUUGAACGCUGGCGGCAGGCCUAACACAUGCAAGUCGAACGCGUGGCGGACGGGUGAGUAAUGUCUGGGAAACUGCCUGAUGGAGGGGGAUAACUACUGGAAACGGUAGCUAAUACCGCAUACCCUCAGCUGUUCCCGGAUGGGAUUAGCUAGUUGGUGGGGUGACGGCUCCCCAAGUCGACGAUCCCUAGCUGGUCUGAGAGGGUGACCAGCCACACUGGAACUGAGACACGGUCCAGACUCCUACGGGAGGCAGCAGUAGGGAAUAUUUAGCAAUGGGCGAAAGCCUGAUGCAGCCAUGCCGCGUGUAUGAUGAAGGCCUUCGGGUUGUAAAGUACUGUUAGCGGGGAAGCGUUACCGGCAGAGGAAGCACCGGCUAACUACGUGCCAGCAGCCGCGGUAAUAC
rnacentral:rRNA from 1 species